CCUGGUUGAUCCUGCCAGUAGUUAUAUGCUUGUCUCAAAGAUUAAGCCAUGCAUGUCUAAGUACAAACGAAAAUAAAGUGAAACCGCAAAAGGCUCAUUAUAUCAGUUAUGGUUUCUUAGAUCGUAUCCACAAUUACUUGGAUAACUGUGGUAAUUCUAGAGCUAAUACAUGCAUUUAAAGAGAAACCAGUAAAAUGGGCUCUCUGCUUUUAUUAGAUUUAAACCAAUGGGGAGCGUUUCGGCGUUCUUACAUUUAAACUGGUUGAACUCUGGAUAAUUUGUUGAUCGCAUGGUCUCGUACCGGCGACGGAUCUUUCAAAUGUCCGCCCUAUCAACUAUUGAAGGUAAUGUCUUGGAUUACCUUGGUUGCAACGGGUAACGGGGAAUCAGGGUUCGAUUCCGGAGAGGGAGCCUGAGAAACGGCUACCACAUCUAAGGAAGGCAGCAGGCGCGUAAAUUACCCACUCCCAGCACGGGGAGGUAGUGACGAAAAAUAACAAUACAAGACUCACAUCCGAGGCCUUGUAAUUGGAAUGAGUACACUUUAAAUCCUUUAACAAGGAUCAAUUGGAGGGCAAGUCUGGUGCCAGCAGCCGCGGUAAUUCCAGCUCCAAUAGCGUAUAUUAAAGUUGUUGCGGUUAAAACGUUCGUAGUUGAACUUGUGUUCCGCACGGGCAGUACCAAAUAACUGGUAACAGUAGUGGUACCUUGUCUUACUUUCCUGUCUUUCGGAUUAGGAAAUGUGCGUGGACGUAUUAUCGGCGUGUUCGCUCUAGUAGCGUUCACAUAAGCCCAUCGCAGUGCUCUUAAACAAGUGUUGCUGUUGGGCCGAUACAAAUUACUUUGAACAAAUUAGAGUGCUUAAAGCAGGCUUGUAAUGC
rnacentral:rRNA from 1 species